rnacentral:rRNA from 1 species
ACUCAAAUGAAUAGACGGGGACCCGCACAAGCGGUGGAGCGUGUUGUUUAAUUCGAUGAUAAGCGUAGAACCUUACCAAGGCUUGACAUCCCUGGAAAAUCUCCGAAAGGAGAUGGUGCCUUCGGGAACCAGGUGACAGGUGUUGCAUGGCCGUCGUCAGCUCGUGUCGUGAGAUGUUUGGUUAAGUCCAUUAACGAGCGCAACCCUUAUAGUUAGUUGGAUUUUUCUAGCUAGACUGCCCCGGUAACGGGGAGGAAGGAGGGGAUGAUGUCAGGUCAGUAUUACCCUUACGCCUUGGGCUACAAACACGCUACAAUGGCCGGUACAAAGGGCAGCCAAGUCGCAAGACGGAGCAAAUCCCAUCAAAGCCGGUCUCAGUUCGGAUUGUAGGCUGAAAUUCGCCUGCAUGAAGCCGGAAUCGCUAGUAACGGUGGGUCAGCACACUACCGUGAAUACGUUCCCGGGUCUUGUACACACCGCCCGU